rnacentral:rRNA from 1 species
GGAUAACCCUCGGAAACGGGGGCUAAUACCGGAUAUGAUCUCCUGCCGCAUGGUGGGGGGUGGAAAGUUUUUCGGCGUGGGAUGGGCUCGCGGCCUAUCAGCUUGUUGGUGGGGUGAUGGCCUACCAAGGCGGUGACGGGUAGCCGGCCUGAGAGGGCGACCGGCCACACUGGGACUGAGACACGGCCCAGACUCCUACGGGAGGCAGCAGUGGGGAAUAUUGCACAAUGGGCGGAAGCCUGAUGCAGCGACGCCGCGUGAGGGAUGACGGCCUUCGGGUUGUAAACCUCUUUCAGCACCGACGAAGCGAGAGUGACGGUAGGUGCAGAAGAAGCGCCGGCCAACUACGUGCCAGCAGCCGCGGUAAGACGUAGGGCGCGAGCGUUGUCCGGAUUUAUUGGGCGUAAAGAGCUCGUAGGCGGCUUGUCGCGUCGGCUGUGAAAACCCGUGGCUCAACUGCGGGCUUGCAGCCGAUACGGGCAGGCUAGAGUUCGGUAGGGGAGACUGGAAUUCCUGGUGUAGCGGUGAAAUGCGCAGAUAUCAGGAGGAACACCGGUGGCGAAGGCGGCUCGCUGGGCCAUUCCUGACGCUGAGACGCG